CCCAUACUGAACUGUCAGAACUUAAAGGUCUGCUAGGACUCGAUCCUCCCCUCUUCAUUUGCCUGUGCUUGACCAGCCUGUGAAAAUAAGAUUAACACCAACAAGAUUUUGCCAGAUGCUGAAGAUGCACAUCCAACGAAUCGCUGUUAAAAUUCAGUGUGCUGAGCCUACGAGCUACUCCUAAAUCAUCCUGGGGUCACGGCCUUCAAAUCCUCUAAAUCUACAUCUGUUUCCUCUGUGGGACUUGGGAACAGCUUUCAGCUUCUGGGUACAAAUGCCACAAGAGUUCAUUCAGGUCCAUUCUGGAGCAUGAUCCAGGCUUAUGCCGUCCUCUACUUCUCCACAACCUGGUUUCUAUGGAAAUCAAACCUGCCUCUAUCAAAAGAGAGCUGCCGCAUGCUCCAAGAGCUAACCCAGGUUGGGACUGCUGAGGACACUGCACAGCAGUGGCUUCAAGCCCUCCAUCCUCACAGAUCAGAAGCACAGGCAGAACAGUAGGAAGAAAAUUGAACACGGCUACUUAGUUUCAGCGGACGCACACCCUAUUUUGCAUUGCAAUGACUCAGCAAAGCCACUUACCAAGGUUUGUCUCUUCAGAAGAGGCGCCUCUCCGUCAAAAACAAAGACAGGUCGAAUUCGGAAAAACAGUAACUUGCAGAGCCGAUGGAACAGAGUGAGGAGGUGAGCAUUCCGUACGGAAAUACCACCACGAUCUCUGGCUCCCUUUAUUGCUUGGUUCAACCAAAUACUGAUAUCUUAAAGAACCGCUGAGGAAAAACUGUGCUCUCUUACACAUAUACUACAUUAAGUUUCUAUAAAGUGCACAUAUUUGACUGAGUGGCUUUUGCCCACUGCUUCAGGCUUGGCUUAUGGAAACCAAAAUUAUCCAAAUAGCUGUGAACUUUGGAGAAGAAUAAAUUCUUGCCCUUAUUGCCCUGCAUAAAAAGUAGAGUGGAAGGAACUGUGGAGCAAGUACCUCCCCAAGUAUUUUUACACAUAAAUGAAGGCUAAUUUCCCUCCACAUCUUUCCAGCAUUUAACCAAGCAUACAGGAUAGGAAAGCUAAUUCUUAAGUAUUUAAUUUUUUUCAUCUUACAGUCCUACAGAGAGCAGCACGUUUAUUUAUAAAGCACAAAAUCCUAGAGACCAACACUUUUGUAAGGAACCUAUUCAGAAAAGCCUAUUCUUCAAACGAUAAAAACAGAAAGAGCUUACUAUUCCACAUAUUAUAAAGCAGAAAAUCCACCAACCAAAAUGUUGUCAAUUUAAAAUUAAUAACAACAAUAAUCAUCAUAAUCACAACAAGAAAAGAUGAUCACUUAUAAGUAAGGGAAAUAGUUAAGAUAAUCUCCCUCACAGUUUUGGCUCCCCGGCUUUACUUUUAAAGGAUACCCACAGCAAGAAUUUUCCCUUCUAGCGUUUCUGGGCUUAUGGUUCUCCCGGUGCAUUCGAGCAACUUCCAGAGUCCUUGAACUCCCAUGGUCCCUUCUUACCUGCUUUGAGAGAAAAUCUAUGAGACAAAAAGAAGGGAUAACCCAAAGACGAUACGGCCCACGUCUGCUUCAUCAAUGCGAACAGAAAUAACGAGGCAGCCGUUCGGCCCGGGACCAGCUGGGGCAGGCGGGGGUCGUGGUGUUGGACCUGCGGCGGGAGCUCACCUGCGGCGGGGCGGGAAGGGAGCCUGGCAGGGGAGCCGGAAGGACCGGACAGGCCCAGCAGCCUCUGCAGCCAGCGAGCGCAGACACCGCCCCGGUACCGCCCCGGCGCUGCCCCGCGGCCCGCCGGGAAGCGCCGUGCGCGGGGCGGAGCCGGCCCCCCUCCCGGUCUGCGAGGAGCCGCUCAUUCCCGCCCCUCACAGCAGGGCCGGGCUGUUCCCACCGGGCAUUCUCCGCCCACCGGGAGCGCCAGCGUUCCUCUCUGCCGGCCCGGAGGAGAGCCGAGUACCGAACACCAGAGACUCGCAGAAUCGAUUAGGUUGGAAAAGACCUCUGAGAUGAUCGAGUCUAACCUAUGAGCGAACACCACCGUGUCAACUAGACCACGGCACUACGUCCUGUCUUCCCUUAAACAGCGCCAGGGACGGUGACUCCACCGCCUCCCUGGGAAAUCUAUUCUAAUAUCUAAUCACCCUGUGAAGAAAUUCCUCCUUAUGUCCAGCUUAAAGCUUCCCUGUUGCAGCUCGAGACUAUGUCCUUGUGUCCUGUCGCUGGUUGCCUGUGAAAAGAGACCAACGCCCAUCCGGCUACAACCUCCUUUCACAUAGUUUUAGAGUGAUAAGGUCAUCCCUGAGCCUCCUUUUCUCCAGGUUAAACAGCACCAGCUUCUUCAGCCGCUCCUUAUACGGCUUGUGCUUCAGACUCUUCACCAGCUCCAUUGCCCUUCUCUGGAUGCAGAACGGAAAAAGUCUCAUGCCACAGAACAAAGUCUCACAUCGCAGAAUGAAAAAAAGUCCUCUAUUUUUUUUUCUUCCCGAACGAGAUUUUCCUUGCAGCAUGUGCUCUUCCCCACUCCGCUCCCACUGCAGCCACAGUGCCCCUCACUGGACACACCCACCCCUCGGUGAAUCCCUAGGGAAAGCUUCCUGAAGCAUAACCCCGAGGACGUGGAGAUGAAAUGUGACAGUCUCCAUGUCCAGAGCAAAAUAACUCUUAAAACCAGUUAAGCAUAGCAGCUGGCUACCAUCAGAGGAGAGUCCCUGUUCCUCAGUGUAACUAUUAUUAAGCAAAACUUAUGAGACAUACAUAUAACACCGCAUAUAUGUCUUAAAUCCCUUAAAGAACACAGUGCAAGUAUCCCAGAGAAACCUGAGCCCUCAGCUCAAACUCAGCUUGCAAAAACAGCUCAUCUGGAAAAUAAAUUUUCAAAACCUAUGGGUUCUGUUCAGUCGUGAGGCUGAAGGCUUUGGGAAAUUAAAUAUCAGAAGUCACAUUGGCUGCACAGAGCAGCCACUUUUUAUGAGCAAAGAGAUCCUACCUCCAGGAUAACUUUGCUAAGCAGUAUUUGCAACUCUGAUCCAUUGCUUACCUACUCUGCUGAAGACCUUUUCUAAAUGUAGGGUCACCGUUCCCAUGACAAAUGAAAAGCAAACAAGGUAGAAAACAAAUUUUAUUGAGUGAACAAAAGUCUAAAAGUCUCCCAUUUUUCGUUAACAAAAGCAGCAACCUACAAAACCCCUGCAUUCCAUGACAAAUCUUUUUAUGUCAAAAAAUUAAUCCUUGAGCAGGUAUGAACAUUUGUACACAGAACAUUGCAACUGUUGAGAUGUGUUUGGGCAAACAACUAGAUAAAUUUAAAAUCAGGGAAAACAAGAAAAGAAAAAAAUAGACUGCACGUGGACACCUGAAAAAGCUUGAAUUGUUUGCUGGCUGAGAGGUAUAUCAUCGGGGCUGUCAGCAGUUUUCGGCACUUGCACCCCCUUCAUACAAAAUAAAAAGAGCAGCAGAAAAAGGACAGAGAUUUUAAGACUGAACAAGAAAAAGAACUGCCAACAGAACAUAGUGUUCAGCUAGCUCAUUUGGCUAAUGGUAAAUGCAGCUUUUUAAUACUGAAUUUCACAAGCUUGUGUUAAGUGAGUCCGUGUUCUGAAGAGGCUCCAGGAUAAGAAUUCAGCCACUAUACCCACAGAGCAAAAGCAACAGAGAAG